rnacentral:rRNA from 1 species
AUUAAACGCUGGCGGCAUGCCUUACACAUGCAAGUCGAACGGCAGCACGGGGGCAACCCUGGUGGCGAGUGGCGGACGGGUGAGUAAUGCAUCGGAACGUACCUUGGAGUGGGGGAUAACGUAGCGAAAGUUACGCUAAUACCGCAUAUUCUGUGAGCAGGAAAGCAGGGGAUCGCAAGACCUUGCGCUCUGGGAGCGGCUGAUGUCGGAUUAGCUAGUUGGUGGGGUAAUGGCCUACCAAGGCGACGAUCCGUAGCGGGUCUGAGAGGAUGAUCCGCCACACUGGGACUGAGACACGGCCCAGACUCCUACGGGAGGCAGCAGUGGGGAAUUUUGGACAAUGGGCGGAAGCCUGAUCCAGCCAUGCCGCGUGAGUGAAGAAGGCCUCGGUUGUAAGA